CCCCAUGAACAGCCCCACCCACUCUUCAUCUCCGAGAGCUUCCAGCCAGUGUGUCACUUUGGAUUUAGGAAUGUUCUGUCGGGUUUAUUGUAAGUGAUGACUCACAGCCUCGAAGAAUACUUUUGCCCUUAUCUCUAAAAUAUCCCUGACCCUCUACCCAGGCUGCGCUCUCUCCCAUGAACAAAUUACACCCGGCUUCUUUCCACCUGGGCAGCAGACGGGGAGCAUUUGGCACGGAGACUUGGCUUGUCUCCGCACGGGCUAUUUGUCAAGAAGUGGAGUUUUGUGGCGAGCCCACUGGCCUGGGAAUCCUAAUAACCCCGGAUUCGUGGACAAUUUGGGGAUGCAGGAUCAGACCUGGAUGGAAGGUUUCCAGGAGGCUGAAGAGGGAGCCAUUUGUGCGGGAGUGAACUUCAGACCCACCCACAGACAGAGGAGAUGGAGGUUCUUGGAAGGCGACGGCCUUUGGAACCGAAGAACGAAACAUUAGCUCCAGGUGCCCUGAUUGAUGGAGACAGGCCCUGCCUGAUUCCGUCCUCCAGACUGGAGAUUCCAGGAGAGCAUUCGUACUGGGAGUGACAUUUUCUUGGACUGUCACCAGGGAUUAUAAAGAACGUUCCUCACCCCUACGUGUCUAAGGGAGGAUGUCACGUACCAAAUGACAGAGACCAUCAAGACGCUGUCUGCUACAUCUGUGUGAGUUACACUGCGGGAACCGAGAAGUGGAAGAUCCAGGUGCACGGUUUGGAAGGUGUACACACAGGGAUGGGGAUUAUAAUUAUAUUUAAGUUAUAUUUGGUGACUCGUGUAAGUGUGGCUCCAGGAACAUCUACAUGGCAUCUACACAGCAUCUACACAGCCUCUACACGGCACAUCGAUGCCUAAGUCUACGGCUUUUCGA
rnacentral:sRNA from 1 species